UAAUUUCUUUGGUUCCUUUCAGUCCUGUGAAGUGUUUGUAACAACAAUUUGCUCAAAUCCCUGAAGCCUCUGGGGUCCGAUUCCUCCUGCUUGAGAGGCCGGGCACACGGUGGCCAAGAGCCUGGACCCUGGAGCAAGGAUGCCUUGGUUUGAAUCUCAGUUCUGACAUUUUUAAAUACUUUUCCUCAACAUCUUAUUAUGAAAAAUUAAACUCAGGAAAUCUGAAUGAAUUGUUCAUGGACACCCAUAUACCCACCCCCUAGAUGCUGUGUGGUCAACACUUUAUCCACACCUGUCCGCCUGUCCAAUCCUCUGCCUAUCAGUCUGGCGUGUUAUUUACGGAUUUCAGAAUAAACUGCAGAUGUCAGUGCAUGUUUGCUUCCGCUCAGUUCUGAGGCGUUUUAGGUGUGAGAUCUUGGGUGAGUCGAUCUCUCUUUGCCGGUUCCCCACCCUUAACGCGUGGCUGUGCGUGGCCCAAACAGAAUAGCCUUGUGGGGAAGCUGAUGGACACAAGGCACUUAGGGCCUGAGCGUGCAUGGUACGCAUCAGCCAUCACUACCGGGAAACCGAGGCGCAGUGGGACUCACAGCCAUGCUCCAGAGCAAGUCUGUAUGACAAGGUUUCCCCAGAAGGACCAGAGUCAUCCGGAUGGCAUCUCAGAGCAGGACACAAGAUUAAGGAGAAAACUUACAGGGGAGGCUGUCAUAAUGCGCCCAAGUGUCGCCGGGCAGGCACAGGCAUCUCCGCUCAGGCCGUCCCGGGACUCGCCGGGACUGACAGCGCCCGCAGCCUCCUGGUCACGUCGUCCGUGAUACCAUCGUCUUCACCUUUCCUUCGGCAGGAACGGUUUCAACUUAGAGGAAGUUGGGAAAAAAAUAACCAGUUGCCCAGAUGUAAGUGUUUGCAUAACGUCUGUUUCAUAGACAUGAUGGAAUUCACCGCAAACAACCGGGAGCGUCUCUGAAAGGUGAGGCCAUCAUCCCACACAGGCUACAACCUGUCACACACAGAACUUGUGGUCACCUGACGUCCGGUGUGAAUGCCUUCAGUGACAGGACCCUCGGGGUUACGCGUCAUAUUUUGUUUUUACGUCUUUCUUGCUUCUUUCCGUCUAGACCCAUCUCCCCGAGGAGGCGGGCCAGUUUCCUCGGAGGAAACCCCACGUUCCGCAUUUGUCUGAUUGUUCCCUCCUGGGACCGGUGCUUUGUCUCCGUCUCCUGCACUUCCUGCAAACCAGGAAGAACCAGCUCGUUUUGAUUUCCAGGGUUGGGUGCCAAGGCCGGCGGAGCCCCAGCAGGCGCCCCGCGGGGACCGGCCUGGGCCUGCUCUGAGCCCCUCACGGGCGCUGGCCUGGCUCUGAGACUAACUCCUCGGUUCUUCAACCUUCAGUACGGACCUCACACCUUGCUCUCCCGCAAACUGUUAACUUGAGAAGAAUUUGCAAAUGAAAAGGCGGAAAAGAGAAGAGCUGUGAGUGGUGUCUCUUAACCUUCCUUUGAAGGACAGCCCUUUCCAGGGUCACGACCGGCCCCAGAUCUGCCUGGAUCGUCCUUCUGCGGUGCGAGCGAGCGUCCGGCCGGCGGUGGCCUGUGGUUCCUGCACGGCCGUUUCCUGACGACCUGCGGCUUGGGGCUGAAUUAAAUAUGAAGCAAAGCUCCAGAAUUACCUAGGAGGAAACCACCGGCAACAGUGCAUCGAUUAUGUUAGGCUGUUCAAUAAUUGAUCUGCUCCCCUCGGG